rnacentral:rRNA from 1 species
GACGAACGCUGGCGGCGUGCUUAACACAUGCAAGUCGAGCGGUAAGGCCCUUUCGGGGGUACACGAGCGGCGAACGGGUGAGUAACACGUGGGUGACCUGCCCUUAGCUCUGGGAUAAGCCUGGGAAACUGGGUCUAAUACCGGAUAUGACUCCAUGACGCAUGUUGUGGGGUGAAAGCCUUGUGCGGCUAGGGAUGGGCCUGCGGCCUAUCAGCUUGUUGGUGGGGUGAUGGCCUACCAAGGCGACGACGGGUAGCCGGCCUGAGAGGGCGACCGGCCACACUGGGACUGAGACACGGCCCAGACUCCUACGGGAGGCAGCAGUGGGGAAUCUUGCGCAAUGGGCGAAAGCCUGACGCAGCGACGCCGCGUGGGGAUGACGGCCU